UACGGAGGGUGCGAGCGUUAAUCGGAAUUACUGGGCGUAAAGAGUGCGUAGGUGGUUUAGUGUGUUAGAUGUGAAAUCCAUGGGCUCAACCUGUGAAUUGCAUUUAAAACUGCUAGGCUAGAGUGUUGUAGAGGGUGGCGGAAUUUCCAGUGUAGCGGUGAAAUGCGUAGAUAUUGGAAGGAACACCAGUGGCGAAGGCGGCCACCUGGACAAACACUGACACUGAGGCACGAAAGCGUGGGUAGCGAACAGG
rnacentral:rRNA from 1 species